GGGCACCGGGGGGGUGCCUAAUACAUGCAGUCGAACGCGUUGGCCCAAUUGAUUGAUGGUGCUUGCACCUGAUUGAUUUUGGUCGCCAACGAGUGGCGGACGGGUGAGUAACACGUAGGUAACCUGCCCAGAAGCGGGGGACAACAUUUGGAAACAGAUGCUAAUACCGCAUAACAGCGUUGUUCGCAUGAACAACGCUUAAAAGAUGGCUUCUCGCUAUCACUUCUGGAUGGACCUGCGGUGCAUUAGCUUGUUGGUGGGGUAAUGGCCUACCAAGGCGAUGAUGCAUAGCCGAGUUGAGAGACUGAUCGGCCACAAUGGGACUGAGACACGGCCCAUACUCCUACGGGAGGCAGCAGUAGGGAAUCUUCCACAAUGGGCGCAAGCCUGAUGGAGCAACACCGCGUGAGUGAAGAAGGGUUUCGGCUCGUAAAGCUCUGUUGUUAAAGAAGAACACGUAUGAGAGUAACUGUUCAUACGUUGACGGUAUUUAACCAGAAAGUCACGGCUAACUACGUGCCAGCAGCCGCGGUAAUACGUAGGUGGCAAGCGUUAUCCGGAUUUAUUGGGCGUAAAGAGAGUGCAGGCGGUUUUCUAAGUCUGAUGUGAAAGCCUUCGGCUUAACCGGAGAAGUGCAUCGGAAACUGGAUAACUUGAGUGCAGAAGAGGGUAGUGGAACUCCAUGUGUAGCGGUGGAAUGCGUAGAUAUAUGGAAGAACACCAGUGGCGAAGGCGGCUACCUGGUCUGCAACUGACGCUGAGACUCGAAAGCAUGGGUAGCGAACAGGAUUAGAUACCCUGGUAGUCCAUGCCGUAAACGAUGAGUGCUAGGUGUUGGAGGGUUUCCGCCCUUCAGUGCCGGAGCUAACGCAUUAAGCACUCCGCCUGGGGAGUACGACCGCAAGGUUGAAACUCAAAGGAAUUGACGGGGGCCCGCACAAGCGGUGGAGCAUGUGGUUUAAUUCGAAGCUACGCGAAGAACCUUACCAGGUCUUGACAUCUUGCGCCAACCCUAGAGAUAGGGCGUUUCCUUCGGGAACGCAAUGACAGGUGGUGCAUGGUCGUCGUCAGCUCGUGUCGUGAGAUGUUGGGUUAAGUCCCGCAACGAGCGCAACCCUUGUUACUAGUUGCCAGCAUUAAGUUGGGCACUCUAGUGAGACUGCCGGUGACAAACCGGAGGAAGGUGGGGACGACGUCAGAUCAUCAUGCCCCUUAUGACCUGGGCUACACACGUGCUACAAUGGACGGUACAACGAGUCGCGAACUCGCGAGGGCAAGCAAAUCUCUUAAAACCGUUCUCAGUUCGGACUGCAGGCUGCAACUCGCCUGCACGAAGUCGGAAUCGCUAGUAAUCGCGGAUCAGCAUGCCGCGGUGAAUACGUUCCCGGGCCUUGUACACACCGCCCGUCACACCAUGAGAGUUUGUAACACCCAAAGUCGGUGGGGUAACCUUUUAGGAGCCAGCCGCGAAGGUGGAACAGGAU
rnacentral:rRNA from 1 species